rnacentral:rRNA from 1 species
CCGCGGUAAUACGGAGGGUGCGAGCGUUACCCGGAUUUACUGGGUGUAAAGGGCGUGUAGGCGGUCUCUCAAGUCCGAUGCUAAAGACCGAAGCUCAACUUCGGGGGUGCGUUGGAUACUGUGAGGCUAGACGGUCGGAGAGGGUAGCGGAAUUUCCGGAGUAGCGGUGAAAUGCGCAGAUACCGGAAGGAACGCCAAUAGCGAAAGCAGCUACCUGGACGAUU